GCCCCGCGCCAGCUUCUGCAGCUCGACGGGCACCACGGCGCUGGGGCAGUGCUUCUCGAUGUAGUCCUGGAAUCCCUGCACUCCCAUGGAAGGAAACUAGUCCAGAGCAUGUGCCACGAGGAGCCUGGCUGUCAGCAUCCUUGGAGUCAGGGAGGCGCAGCAGAACUGAACACUGCCCGGCUCAUGUGCCCAGCCACAAACACAACCCUCCCUUCCCAAAGAAAAGAAAAGAGAGGAAAAGCACAAGGGGAAACAAGGUGCUUCCAGAACUUAUUUAAUACAAACUAAAAGUUUGGCCAGACAAGAAGACAAUGGAAAAUAAGUUAAAUUUACAGAAAACAAAAUUACUCUGGAAAGCAGGUAGAUUAAGCUAGAUUUAAAGAGCAAUUAAUCAAAGACUGAGGCAAACAAGAUGUUUUUUCAUCAACCAGCAGCAGAAAGCCUCCAGGAUUCAUCAAUCUUCUUCCUCAGCACUGAGACACAGCGUCUUCCACUGUUCCCAGAUGUUGGUUGUGUAAAGGAAGGGUUAAUGGCAGUUGGUAUUAAAGUCAGUGACUCAUUAUCCAACCUGAACAGAAGAGAAUUAGGAGUGGCUCCCUCAAAGGAAGGAACUGAACAGUCAUUAGGAAGAACUAACGAAUAACCAUGUCAGAGCAAGAAUAGAGAUGAAUGUUAUCAGUUUAGUCUUGGUUCCUUUGCUAACGAAAAUCAGUCCCACAGUGAGAGGAACAUGGACACAGGCUGUGCAACAGACUAGCCACUGUGACCUGAAAGGUCCAUCUGCCUGGGAGUAAUAGAUACAUAUGUUAUCCAAGGAAAGCACUUGUUUGAUGUGAUUUCCCAUAAUAUUUCUCCUCUUUUCUCAGCCUGGUGCAUCUUGCUGUGGAGCUGCUGCCCCAGAACUUCUCAGUUCUUUCUGCUGUAGAAGAGCUCCCAGCCUUCACGUCACUGCCAGGUCUGCAAGUGGCCAUGGGCUCGCCCUGUGGGCUGGGUGCUUUUCUGCAUUGCUACUUCAGUGCUCACAGUUCUAGGCACGCCUGUCACUUAGUCAAAAAGAGUUGCAAAAAUACAAGAAAUUGAAGAAAAAUUGUUGGGGUUUAAAAAAGUAUUGGGGAUAAAAUUUGUCACUUGUUGCAAUCUUGCUCUGAUUUUGUAUCAUUGUAUUUGCUACCAUGUGUGACAUCCCUUUCUUGUCUCUUAGGUUGCUGCAAUUAAACCAUAUACCAUCACACAAAAUUUGUGGAAGAUUUUCCAUGUUCAGGUAUCUCCACAAAAUAUCAACAAACACCAUCUUGCUUAAGCAUAUUGUAACUUUUUUCAAAUAUAGAUGAUACUUCAGAUGGACCAUUUUCCUCUUAGGACAAAGAUGUGGAUAUAGAAGGCAUAUCACUGGGUUAUUUAAAACACUUAUCGGUCUCUCCAUCAGCAUCAGCUCUCUAGGGACUUGGAGUCUAUUUCUGGAACUUCUCCUUUUUUCAGCUUUCUGCAAGACAUAAGAUUGCAGAACUCCAUAGGUGAUUGCUCAGCUUAAACACAUUUAUUGCUAACAGCUGGGUUUUUUUCUGAGAAAUAAUACGAUUCUUUUAGCAACAGCUUGGUAAUAUCAACUCUCACAGCUUCUUUUGUAAAACUUUCUUUUUGCAAAGCAAACUUUGCUGAAAUCUUAAGUUUCAGCUGAUCUGCCCUCACCCAAUAAACAUUCCUCUGCUCUAACGUUUCAAUUUAAUUUAAAAUUUAGUUUCUGCUAUAACUUCCACCAUAACAUUAAAAUUGUGUGGAACUUUUUUCGCUGAUACGUGGUGAGUACAGCUUGCACCUUCUCGCUGGGAUCAGCCCUUUUUUGUGGAAGCAUGGAGCUCCUACAGCAAUCACCUGCCUCAGCUGCCAGCGUGCUCCUACAAACCCCACAGCUUGCACAGAGCAGCUGAGCUGAGCUGAUGCCAGAAAGGUGAAGGUCUUGUAAGAGGUUCCCAGAUCAGGAUGAUGCAUGGAAAAAGCAUGCAGAUAAGGCAUCGUUUGCCCAAACAUGUCGUCAGAAACUGACUUCCUAAAGCAGCAGGAGGGAGAGUCCUCAAUGCCAGGACAGCCAGGGGACUUCCGUGGCACACCAGUCAUCCACAUCCCAUCCCUGCUUCAGCUCAGGACCCAACCUCACCUCCCAACCACAGCAUUACUGGCUUACCUGGCACAGAUGGCUGUGUUCUAGGAGAACCUACAAACAGCUCUUGUGGCUCCAGGGUAGACUGAGGAGGGAGUAAAAUGAGUGAAGGAAAACAAGACAGACUUCUAUCCAAACCAGAACCUCAUGGCAUUUCUCCAUGAAGGUGUAGUUAUCUGUUCAAGGUCAGUAUCCCAAAACAGGGUGGUUUAGAGUCUUCCAAACUCAUUCCAUCAGUUUAUUUCCCAGUUUCUGUGAGCAGUAUGAUCACUCCUUUUUUGUCAUGUCCAUCCACUGUCUCAACUUCAGCAGAGGUUACACUAUGGGUCAGCUUGGACCAACUGAAUCCAAACUUAAUACUUUUUUCUCCAUGACAGAAAUGGCAUUUCAGAGAUGUCCUUUUCUAUGCCAGCUAAGAACUAAAGCUUUGAACCAGGCUUUGAUGAUCUUACAGCUCAUAUCCGUAACAUUCCUGCUUUCUGGGCUUGACCAGUGCCGUUAGAAUGACCAAGUCAAAUAAUUUUAUCUGAUUUAUGGCUUUACCUCCUUAGCAAUCUCUUCAGCCUUCUUUUGUUUCCUGCUUCUCUGUCACUUCAAAUAAGUUACUGCUCUUUGCUUUCCCAGUGCCCUCCUUGACCCACCUACUCCAGCAAUCUCUUUCACUAGGAAAUUACUUGUCCCUCUCACGGGCAAUAAUUCCAAAAUUUCCUCUGCAGUCAAGAAGUCAUUUAAUCCACAUAUCUAUCUCCUAAAUUUCCUCGAAGCACUGUGAGUAGAUGCUUAUUUUCCUGUCUCUUGCACAGACGCAGGAACAAGGGCCGAGGGGGUUACCAGCAGCACGACCAACACCUCUCACCUGUGUUUGUCUGUUUUGUCCCCAGCUGUCACUUCCCUGCCCUGGGUUUGCUGUUUUCAUCUGCAGCUAUGCACAGCCAAUUUCAGUGGCAUCUUAUUCUGUGCUUCAGGUUUCUAUAAGCAAUAGAAAAUAACAGUUGGCUGUUUUGUCUCUGCUCGUCCUGAUUCUGCAAUCCCUAAAGACCAACAUCUUCCUUUGCAAUAAACACUGGACAUUUUUUAGAAUAAAUAGAUCAAGAACUUUGGUAGAAAAACAUCUCAGAAAUAUCAACAUCUCCUUUCAGAUAGAAAGUCAAUGUGAGAUUAAUGAAAUUGAAAAAAAAAAAUUCAAAUAAAACCCAGGGUGAUCCAACACAGGUUGUAAAAAUCAGUAUAAAUGGCUGACCAAACAACCAUCAUGCAGUCAUAACUUAAAGGGAAGCUUCACUUGGGAGAAGAGCAAUGUUUAUAGAGAGGCUAAUUUUAUCUUAGUGAAUACUAUUCAAAGUUACAAGUUGUAGUCCAAAAUACUGCUUUGCAGCUCAGAGGAGAGCUAGCACAGGCUGUGAACUGGCCUCACAUGGCAAUCUAUUUCUGAUACCAUAAAAAAUACACUAUUUCAAGAGCCCAGGCAAGCUGCAUGGGUACAGCCCUGCCCUUCCUGCAGUUGAUAGUUUUGCUAGUGGCAUCGGUGAAAUGAUGUUUUCCUCUGGUGUUAGCCCAUGCAAGUUUAAAUACUGGGCCAGGAAACCCAUAUCAGUUCUAUUGCAUGCAAUACCAGUGAUUUUAAACCCAUUUGCUUAGGUGGAUUACUAAAUGGAAUUUGAAAAGUGAUUUAUUAUUGAAAAUUAUUUUUGUUUGUUUAUUCAUCCAGUUUUCCUAAUUGUGCCAUGUUAUUCUGUAUGCUAGUGUGCUUCUGCUGUAUCAGGACAAAAUAGGCACUUAAGCCUUUGGGCAUAUGAGGUAAGUCGUGUCCCUUCUCCAUUCCACUGGAAAAUCAACAAAAGCAAGCCUUUAAUAGCAUGAAUUCCAUUAUGACCCACCUUAGCAGGCACCUAAAUCCUUCAGCUGCUAUGAUAAUUUAUCUUUGAACUCGUAAGUAGCAGUGCAUAACUAACAAGUAAGCUGCAGGAACAUGCAGUUACUCUGUAUUUACAUGGUGUUUGCUGUGCAGUUGUGGUGUAAUUACAGAGAUUAUACCUGCUCUCUAGAAUAAGAGUACAUGGUGUACCUCAUUUUGUGCAGUUUCACACCAGCAAAGCAGAGCUCAGCGUGACGGAGCUGAACAAAUGUUCCAUUCUGCAGCGGGUGGAAGCGAGCCCCAGGUAGGGAGCAGGGCAGGGGCCGCGCAGAGAGCCGCGAUUCAGACCAGCGCCGCGCCUUGGGGCUGCACCUCACCCUGUUUGGAGUUUGGACUGCUGCCCUUUCAGUGAUAAACAGACACGUGAUGCAAGUUCAUAUGUACAAUGAAUGGCUUUGGGACAAAUGUUUGAAGACUUCUUGCAACAAAUUGCUCACAAAUGAUCUACAGCAAGAGUUACUUCCAGAAUGGUUACUGCACCUAUGCUAGGAAAAAAGAUACUCAAGCAAAUCAAUCUGCUUGUGGACAAAUAACGAAAAGAGAAAACCAAAAAAUUCCUCUAACAAAUAUGAAACUGCAAAUUAUUCACAGCUCAGUUGGCAACAACCAAUUUUUGUGGUAGUAGGAGCUCAUGGAGUAGGAGGUAACUGUGUGAAGAAUGAUUGAUUUGGUAUCUUAUAUUGCAAUUCUGGAAGGGCUUCAACAUCUAAUUUAAAAGCCAUCCUCCUUCUUUUACCCAGUAAAGGAAAUAAAAUGAUAGUUGAUGUCUGUGAGCUGUUUUGGGAAGAUAGGAUCUAUUUUGUGUCCUCUGGACACUGACAACGGCUACCUCAUAAGAAAGAGCAGUUAUUAGAAAAAAUAUCUCUUGCCAGAAAAAAACAAACAAAACCUGCCUAAGGAAGGAUAUUGCCAUCACAAUCCUCUUUGCAUUUUCCCAGGAAAGACACAUAAUGGGUCUGAACUUGGUGAAUCUUUGAGUUGUGGAGCCUUGUGUAAGCUGCACAUCCACCAGCCCAUCUUUCGGUACAAACACUGAUUUACUUCCCUCUUGGAAGAAUACAAAGCACUUUUGGGACGUCUCUCAACUAAGACCACCUUCUGUCUCUCCUUCCCCACUCCUGGGAUGGAGCCAGCCACCCUUUUGGUGAGAGGUUCUGGCAUGCUGCAGUGGGAUGCCAGCAGAAUUGUCUUCUCAAAACAAAGUGACUGUAACAUGCUCUGUCUAUGCCUGUGGAGUGGUGGAGAGAAAGAUAGAAGAUACACUUCCAUGUCACCAAAAUCAACAAUGGGAAAAAGGUGCAUUUCUGCAAGAAUGUUCUAGGCAACCUCCUCAACAACAGAAGGACGUGCUGCAGAAGGUGAUGUUCAGGAGCCAUUUCACCCUCCCACAAGGAUACAGAAUGAGGACAUCUGCAUCCAGCUGACCCAUGCCAAACCACCUUGACUUCCUGCCUCUUAUACCUUUCUUUGCAUGCUGCUAAUCCGUGUUAGAUUCAAGACUGCUUGAACUGUCUGUGGAUGGCAAGGCCAGUCCAUGGCUGGUGAACCUCCUACCCACCACUGGUGCUUUAGGAGCCCUUUCUGCAGCACCUGCCUCCUUGGGACAGGAGCUGGGGCACACAGUAACUCAUCACCUCACUGUCAGAGCACAGCUGAUACGUUGGUGGACUACCUUCAACAAUUUCACUGCAGAAAAGCUUUAAUUCUGACUAUUGUAAGACUAUAGACAAAUUUCUCAGCCUGCUUCAGUCUACAAACUGCAGAUACAUAUAUAGGUUGUUUGAUCCUGUAUACAAAACCCACCACUGCCCUUUGUCUUUACCCUCCCCAUUCCCUGCGAUUUGGGAAAGUUUGCCUGGAAAGGGUCAGAAAACAUUCACCUGCUGCAGGUCCUCCUAAGCCCCCCAGCUUUUAAAAAAUUUAUUUAAUUUGCUACAUGUGAUUAACUCCACUGAGUUUCUGCCAGGCAGAAUUUGCAACUCAAAGUACCCCAUGAGUGCUGCAACACUGCCAGGAAGUAAAUACCACCACAGUCUUCAUAAUCACUGUUUUCCCGAAGAACAGGUAUAGCAGACAGGCUAUUUUAGGCUAUAAAUGGAAAUCAGAAAAUGAGAUUUUCUUUCCCUGCUAGUUCUUCUCCUGAGAAUUUUAGUCCUUUCCUCUGUGCACGUGCUUUGGUUGUUGGUGGCAGCAUAUUGGUAAUAUGGGUCUCUCAGAGCAUCAGUCGCUGGAGCCUGUUCCACAGCACUGAAGUGCCAGGGAACAUGGGAAAUCAUUCCCACUAGUACCAACAUGCUGUUUGUUGAUAUAAAAUCACGUAUUAGAUCAAAACCGGAUUGGGAUAGCCUGAUUUACUCCAUGACUCUGGUGACAGUUGAUUUAAAAUUCGGGUGUACAAAGUAAGUAAAGGUAUUCCCCAGCUACCUGCUCUUCCUUUUCUAGUAGUGGUAAUCCAUUUGCAACUCUCAGUUUUGCAGAUUGCCUGUCAUCUCCUGUGGAUGAUCAAAGUCCAGUCAUGAAUACAGGCACUCUGGACUUGCAGUCCUGUCAAUAUCAGGGAUGUCUGGCCUUGCCUUCAGUUUGUAGCACAGACACUGUCAUCUAAAACAUCCAUAUCACAUGGAUCUAAUGCAAGAUCUUCGCAUGGCCUUUAAAUCUGAGAAGUUCCAAUUUUCAUUCUUCUAUCAUCAAUUCUUCUAUCAUCAGUUCUAUCAUUCCUCAUGUAUUAUGCUUUUUUUUUUUUCUGGAAAAAGCUUUGCAUUAUUAGGAAUUCAAGAGAUAAGGUUUUGCUACAGCGACAUGCUGAUCUCAGAACUUGAGAACAGAUCCUUAGCAUCACAUACACUUUUCUGUUGCCCCUAAUGGUAAUGAGAAGCAUUUUCUGGGUUAGGAAAUACCCUCAUUAUUUCACAUGACAGGGUGAUACUAGGCCUGUGUCCCCUUGUUUGAUUAAAUGCUAAUCACAGGUAUCCUUUGAGCUGCUGAGUAGUCAGUGGUUUAUUUUAGCCAAUUGUAGUACUACUGAGAAGCACUCUCUUCCUGCCUUUAGAAACAAAAACCCCAUUUAACCUUGGAAAAACACGAUUCAUGCUAUUUUCUUCACCAAAGGAAAAGGAGUGGGUUUUUUUGGGUACAAACCUAUUCAGUGAAAGAUAUCUUAGUCAACAGGGGUCAGCUCCGGCACUCAUAGAAGACGAAAGAUUUUGAGAGAAUAUGUGAAAAAAAACAGAUGGCUUUAACUAAAUUAAUGGAAACCAUACUUUGUGUUUUACCCAGCCAUCACAUGUGGUAAUCCUGACAUUCCGAAUAGUUGUCACAGUCUUACUCUCUCAUUCUCUUAGUCUUCCACUUUGCUUUGUCAUUUACAGUAUUCAUGUGCUUGACUUCAAGCAGCCUGAUGCUGUUCAUGGGUUACUUGGUUUGACAUUAAAAUAUCAUUAAAAUUGAAAAAUCAUUUAGAAAGUUGGAGGACUGUUAUCCAGUAAAAAUUCUGAGAGCACAGUGGAAGAUGUAAAGUGACUGAACUUUUGGAUUUACUCUGAAGAGGUCCUGUUCCCCUCUCUCUCCUUGCCCAUCACCAGCUGCAGCCACCCUUGCUGAUUCUGCUUCCUCUGCCCCUUUCUCAUGGAGGUGCCUUUCAUUUUACAUGAUUUAUCGAGAUGUUUUCAUCCUUAUCCCUCUCUAGUCCUCCUUCAGACACAGCCAGAAACCCAGCUGUUACCUGUGCCUGCCUUCUUGCUCUAUCACCAGCUGAAAACCUUUUAAACUAUUGAUGGCAAUGGUUGACCUCCAUCCUUUAAUCCCACAGUUUUCCUUGUAAAGCCCUUUGUCCCAGCACUCUUUCUCCUUGAGCCACUGUGGUUCCUCAGAAUUGGAGGAGCAGCAGUGAGCAGAUUACAGCUGUGAGGACACACAGCUCAGCCAGCAGCAUCCUGACCUACAACAAAGUCCAAGAGUCCAAUGACCACUGAAACUUGGCAAAGCUAUGCCUAAAGGGCAGCAACUACAGGUCCACCCCUGUAUUUACAGCACCCACCAGGUACUUGAUACUGCUGCUGAUCCUAUGAGCUAUCAAGGAGAACUUGUAUCAGGAUACGUAUCAGAAAAGCAGCUUUUCCCACACUAGAAAUCCAGAUCAGUAGGCAGAAACCCUCACUGCCUAAAUAGGGUUCAAAUCUGAACAAGAAGUGUGGGCUAAUCUAUCUGCCAGAUCUUCCCCUGCUAGAGUUGUGCUGCUUGAACAAGGACUACUCUGGAUUUGUUAUUAAUGUUUACUCAUCUUGCCCCAACAGGCAGUCCCAUGCCUGCUGCUGUGCAGGCACAAAGGAACAGGUCAUCCUUACCCAGAACAUCCGCAGUGUUAAAUCAUGAUCUUCAUCUCCUGCUUUCCCAGCAUUCAACCAGAGGUUAUUUUUCACUGCUAACCUAAAAGAGCUCAGAAGAAAGCUCAGUCUAUGGUUUAAAUAAUUAACUACUUUGACCUGGAUAUUCUGAGAGGCCCCACUAAUCUCAGCCUUCUCAGCAGUUUCUAAAAUAAAAUAAAAACAAUAGAAUAAGAUGAAAUAACAUAACAUAAAAUUAAAUGAAAUAAAAUAAAUUAGUCUAAGUCACCAUCAGUUUUAUGACCAAGCUCUUCAGCUCACACUCGGGAUCAGACCUGCUGCUUCUCUGUCCUGGUCGGUUUGUGCCCAAGGCAAUGGCAAAACAGCAGUUUAUUUCAACUGAGAAUUUGAUGCCAGGCUAUUUUGGGACUGAGUGAAACUUGUCCUCCAUAAUUACUUUACAAUCAGUGAAGAGCUCUUUCUAGAGCAGCCUGGUGUGAUACAAAACAUGCUUUAAAUAUUCUGGGCUUGUACUGUGUAACACCAAGAAAGGACAAUGGCCUGGAGAGUGCAGGGUGUUCACUUGAGAGGCCACAAAAGUACUAUGGCUGUGACAGAACCAGCAGAAACAGACCAUUUAACCAGCCCUGAGGCUGCUAACAGGGGGCCAAGGAAAUCCACAGGAGAGCUGGAAAGCUGAUAAUGUGUUAUCUCCUCUGUAGUGCUGCAUGGAAUUUUAUUACAAAAAUAUAUGUACUUUAACAAAUGAAAUAUCAA